rnacentral:rRNA from 1 species
AUGGCUGAUUCAGCGGAGUGCGCCAUCUGUCACGCGGCGGUCAAUACACGGCGUCAUUCCCUCUUUGAUUGCCGCAUGGCUCGCUGUGUUUGGGCCCUCACUGAGGAGGAUUUGACGGAAACAAUCAUAUCAAAUAGGGAGAAGGAUGCCAAGCUUUGGAUGCUAUGGUUGGUUGAUACCCUACCUUUGGCCGACCUAGCACGGGUAUUGGUGACAAUGUGGGCCAUAUGGUGGGCGAGACGCCGAGCCAUCCAUGACGACCAGUACCAGAGCCCACUAAGUACCCAUAUUUUCAUUGACAAGUUUCUAGCGGAGCUCGAGAUGAUGCCGCACAAGAAAUCACGCCCCAAGGACCUACAUGUAACUUCAGGGGACCUGCAUGUGAUUUCCAGGGACCUGCAUGUGACUAGAAGUGGCCAUGGGGAUUCGCCAUCGCAUGCGUGGCUCCCGCCUGAGCACCAUGAUGUUAAGAUGAAUGUUGAUGUAGGCUUUUCGAAGAUCGGCGACCGUGCAGCUGCAGCAGUGAUAUGCAGGGACAAACGAGUAAACUUCCUGGGUGCCUCGGCCAUCAUCUAUGAAGGCCGCCUCGAUCCAACUAUACUCGAAGCACAGGCAUGUUGCGAGGCCCUCUCUCUCGCCUCGGAUUUGCAGGUUCAUUCCAUAUGUGUGGCCUCAGACUGCUUGGAGGUAGUGAUGAACAUACAAGAUGAAGUUCCCUGCCGAUAUUUUUCUAUCUUACAAGAUAUCAAGCACCAGAGGAGUCAAUUCCAGGAUGUAAAGUUUCUCCAUGAGAGUAGGAAACAUAACGGAGAAGCACAUGCCUUAGCAAAGGCAGCUGCCUCUCUUAGCCUCGGGCGCCAUGUGUGGCUUAGUUUUUGCCCGAUAUCAUCUGUAUCUCCAUGUGUGUGA